GAAGGAGCGACGCCGCGUGGAGGAUGAAGGUCUUCGGAUUGUAAACUCCUGUCAUUGGUGAACAAGGUCUGCGGUUAACUGCCGUUGGAUUUGAUAGUAGCCGAAGAGGAAGGGACGGCUAACUCUGUGCCAGCAGCCGCGGUAAUACAGAGGUCCCAAGCGUUGUUCGGAUUCAUUGGGCGUAAAGGGUACGUAGGCGGCGAUGCAAGUCUGGUGUGAAAUCCCGGGGCUCAACCCCGGAACUGCACUGGAUACUGCAUUGCUAGAGUACUGGAGAGGGAACUGGAAUUUACGGUGUAGCAGUGAAAUGCGUAGAUAUCGUAAGGAAGACCAGCGGCGAAGGCGAGUUCCUGGACAGUUACUGACGCUGAGGCACGAAGGCCAGGGGAGCAAACGGGAUUAGAUACCCCGGUAGUCCUGGCAGUAAACGGUGCGCGUUUGGUGUGGGAGGAAUCGACCCCUUCCGUGCCGGAGCUAACGCGUUAAACGCGCCGCCUGGGGAGUACGGUCGCAAGAUUA
rnacentral:rRNA from 1 species